CAAUAAAUCUGGCUCAAAUUAUCAAUGUCGGUCCUAUAAUUUACAGAGUUACACGUCUUUAUAUAAAACAUUUCGGCAAAAGAUCUUUUAAUAUAAUUUUUCUCUUUGUGCAAAAUUUCAACAUUAUCGAGAUUAAAAUCGAACAUGUGUCCUGUACUAAGAUGAUGAUAGACUAGGGCCGUUUUGUUGUCAGAGGGAUGCUUAAUCGAAUAUUUGUGAUCAGAUAUUCUCUUACAAAGAUGUUGCCUAGUUGUUCCUACAUAACUUUGUUGACAAUGUAGACAAUUGAUCUUAUGUAUCAGAUAAGAUUCCCAUUUUUUAGGAACUUUGUCCUUUAGUUUAGUAAAGAACACUUUUUCGAAAGUGUUGUCACUCCAAGUUAUGAACUUCAUGUUUUCUUUCUUUAAAACUCUUUUCAGAUUGUGUGUCAAAUUUGGAAUAAGUGGAAGUUUAACAAAUUUAACAAUAUCAUUGUCUAUGUUAUUUGGGCGAAUAUCGUUGACUGGAAUAGCAUUAGGAAUUCUAGAAGGUUCCAUCUAAUCUAGUUUUUAGUGCCUGUGUGAUGUCGAAACAUUUGAAUUACCAAUAUUAUUGUAAAAGUAUUUAUUUCGCCUGAAGAAGAGAUAAAUCCCAUCUCGAAACUGUCGCGAUUUAAGUAAUUUGCAAAUAGAAAUUUUGCCAAUUCACCAUUUUUUUUUAUU